rnacentral:rRNA from 1 species
UACGAAGGGGGCUAGCGUUGCUCGGAAUCACUGGGCGUAAAGGGUGCGUAGGCGGGUCUUUAAGUCAGGGGUGAAAUCCUGGAGCUCAACUCCAGAACUGCCUUUGAUACUGAGGAUCUUGAGUUCGGGAGAGGUGAGUGGAACUGCGAGUGUAGAGGUGAAAAUUCGUAGAUAUUCGCAAGAACACCAGUGGCGAAGGCGGCUCACUGGCCCGUAUACUGACGCUGAGGCACGAAAGCGUGGGGAGCAAACAGGG